GGAUAGCUCAGUUGGUUAGAGUGUGGUGCCAAUAUUGCCAAGGCUGCAGGUUUGAUCUCCGUGUGGAACA